UCCGUCGCAAAAUUUCGCGUUCCCUGCCCUCACUUCCAAUUUGCCCGCCCUCACCCGCCAUUCUCUUCUCUCUCUCUGCUGAUUCCUCAGAUCCUCCCUGCACUCGCUGUUCUCCCUGCCUCUCCCUCUUUCGUCUCUCGAUCAGAUCUGCACUCGCUGUACCCCUCGCUAGAUAUAGAACCUACCCCUCGCACCGCAGCUUCGAUGAUGGUGGAGAGGACGCGCCGCCGCGGAGGAGGAGCAGCAGCAGCAGCAGCAGCUGGGCCCCGCGUCCCUUCGGGUUCCCUCGGCCCCCCGUGUUUCCCUCGCCCCCGUCCCUCCCUCGUCCGAAUUGGGGGGCGGCGCCGCCGCCGAACUGGCCUCGAGGUACUUCCCCUUUGGGUGUUCCGGUUGGUGUUCGCUGGAUGGGGUCGUCGCGUUCCGUGAUUCUUGCACCCGAUUGCCGGCUCGUUCGUUUGAUUGCGUGCUCCUCCCGUUCUCUCGGGUGCCUGAUUGCUCGAUUCUAGCUGCGUUCCUGCUCGUUCUCGACUGUUUCGGGUGUAGUUUGGGGUAAAGGGGGUUCUGGUGUUGUAAUUCGUGAUUUUAGUGCUAGUGUUGCGUGCUGAAUUUCAAGCGAUGUUUCUGGGUGCGACAGUGGUGUUGCUUGGCUUUUGAUUUUCGUAUCCAGCGGGGUUCUGUUAGCUGAAUUACUGGGCUGAGUGUUCAAAUUCGGAGCUUUUGCAAUGCUCUCGGGGAAGUAAACUUUUUGGUGCAUAAACUUCUUGACCAAGCUUUUCUUGAAGUUGUGGAGUGUGCUCUGUCAACGAGGUUGGCAUCUUAUUUUUCCUAAAUGAUGGUAGAUAAGCUCUGACAUCUGUUUUAAUAUGGGUGAUGGUAUGGCAGUAAAACACUUAUCAGCAUGGCAAGCCAACUUUGAUUGAUGGGGAUGUAUUAACUUGGUAUCCUAACCCAGGAAGAAUCUCCUAGGAUAUUGACUCAUGGCUAGGAAGGGCAAUCAGCAGAAGAAUGGGGUUAGUAGUUCCUCACAGAAUGGCAAAAAGAAGGGUUCAGAAACACAUCAAGAAAGAAGACAAGCUACUGACGUGAAGAUUCCUCCUAAAGAGACAACUGUGAACAGUCAUCACUCGAGCAACGUGUCGGCUGAGAGCAUGAGUCAAGGAACUGGGAAACUAAUGAGUAUGGAUAAACAAGGGACAGAUGCAGCUCAGGGAUUAGAGCACCCAGUUCUGUCUGGGGAAUCUUCAGGGGAUUAUAUUCAAAAUGCAUCUCCUAUG